rnacentral:rRNA from 1 species
UACGUAGGGGGCAAGCGUUGUCCGGAAUUAUUGGGCGUAAAGCGCGCGCAGGCGGUUGAUUAAGUUUUGGUGUUUAAGCCCGGGGCUCAACCCCGGUUCGCACUGAAAACUGAUCGACUUGAGUGUAGGAGAGGAAAGUGGAAUUCCACGUGUAGCGGUGAAAUGCGUAGAGAUGUGGAGGAACACCAGUGGCGAAGGCGACUUUCUGGCCUA